rnacentral:rRNA from 1 species
UACGGGGGGAGCAAGCGUUGUUCGGAUUACUGGGCGUAAAGGGCGCGUAGGCGGCCAGCACAAGUCAGUUGUGAAAUCUCCGAGCUUAACUCGGAAAGGUCAACUGAUACUGUGCGGCUAGAGUGCAGAAGGGCAACUGGAAUUCUUGGUGUAGCGGUGAAAUGCGUAGAUAUCAAGAGGAACACCUGCGGCGAAGGCGGGUUGCUGGGCUGACACUGACGCUGAGGCGCGAAAGCUAGGGAGCGAACGGG